rnacentral:lncRNA from 1 species
UCAAGAAUUCAAGGCUCAGUUCCUUACUAGAUGAGGUAUAUAUACAAAUAAUAAUCCAACAGCAUGCAGUCAUAAAAUUCAAUCCCAUUGAUUACAAAAUUUGAGUUUUGAUAUUCAAAUGGCUUACCAUAUAUGAUGAAUUGUCAUGAAAUGAUUACAUAUAUUUAUUUCUAUAAUUAAAUUAAAAUUAAAAUUUUAAAUAUAUAUUUAAAUUAUAAUUAAAAUUUGUAAGACCCAUUUUCUGCCUGGCCCACUAGCAAAACCAACCAACCCAAAAAUAAAAAAAAUUACAGUCCAUCAGAACUACAAGCCCAAACCCAAUAGGCCCAAAAAUCAGAAACCCUAAGCCCACAAACUUAAAGAUUUUCAGCAAACCCUAGUUGCCUCCCCUAAGCCCUGGCGCCGCAAGCUUCCAUGCGUGGCCUCCUCGUCUGCCACGCCUCCAGCGCACGCCGGCCUACUCGCACGCCUCUGCCAUCGUCUGCACCAACGCAUCUGACACCUGCAAGAGCCAAACAACAAAACGACAAAGAAAAUAGAAAUCAAACGGUUGUAAUAUGGCUAUAAAAGCCAAAGUGUUCUCGUUGUAACUUUUUUUACAAACGCACAUAUAAAAAUAAAAAACAGAAUAGAAGUUAAAAAGGGUUGAGAUUCUAUUGUUUUUUUUUCGUUUUCUUUUUUUAUUCAUCUUUUAUUUAUUUAUUUUCUUUACAAGUGUUUUAACAAAUAAAAAGGAAAACAAACUUACCAGAAUCGGCCCGUGGCUCCUCCGUCGGUGGUCUUUUUCCCCGGCGUUGGAAUCGGCAAAAAAGGGAGGCAAAGGUCGAAUCUUUUUCAUUUUUUUACUUUUCAGGCAUUUGCCUUGUAGAUCUAAAACCUAGGUUUAAAACGGGCUAAAAAUAAAAAAAAAUUGGUUCUCCGGCUACCGUGUACGGCGGCGCCGUCGCCGGUGACCGGCGGCUAUGACGGUGGUCAACGGCCGGAUCUUUGCCCGGAUGCGGGGAGGGGGCUAAGAGUUUGAGAGUAUCUCAACUUUUUAUUUUUUGAGAAAGAAGGAAAAAUGAAAAAUUUUGAAAAAAAUUG